CCCAGCGCUGCCGGGGGGAGGCGAAGCUCAAGAAACCCUCGGCGCUGGCAGAAACCGAGCCUGUUCCCCCUCUCCCCGGCGCGGAACUAUUUCAAAGGAUAAGGGGGCAAAAGAGAUGGGAAUGGACGGACAUAGCCCAUAAACCUGCUAAGAUGUGUGAGAGCUGUAGAUGGACUCACAGACUUGGGAGAAAACAGAAGACAGACGAGCUCCUGCACAUCCCCAGAAUCUGAACCACCAAGAAAAGGCUUCUGAGCACAUGGGGCCAAAGCCAUUUCUUCUCUAGGUAUCAAGUGUUCCAAGGCAUGAAGAAGGGUUUGCACCAGCAGGAAGAUGAAUGGAGAACAUGUAGAAAUCAUUUGAGUAAACCAUGAGUUGCCAGCAGAGGAUUAAGUACCUGCUGGACUCCUCAGUGAUAUGAUGCAAGGGGAGGCCAGGAGGGGCAAGAGACUGGAGAGAACAGGAGUGAUCCCAUAAUUAAACAAGAGGCUUUCUCUAAAGCUCCCCCAUGAUGGAUUUCCUCCUCCAGGCUAGGAACCAGCUCGUGUCAUUCGGUUUUGUUCCACCAGACAUAAAUAACAGCUCUCCUGGGACUUGUGAGGAGGGUAAAAAUGGCAUUUAGCAGAAAAAUUGCGACAAGGACAAGGAUGCAAUGGAGACCCCGAGUGAGGGAUGCAGAAAGCAAGGCGGAGACAAAUUGCCGAUUUAUCCUGACCUUCCCUCGAGGCAUCCCUCCCCCUUCCCAAAUCCACAAAGUGAGCAAGGCAGAAAUCAAUAGCUCAGCACAGCCACAGAGAUGGUGAGGAAAGCAGCAGAUGCACAGGAGGGUAGAUCAGGAAACAAAACCUUGCCGGGAAACAAGAUUCCAGGGCAGGGAAGGGAGAGACAUCCUAUUUCACAAGGGAUGCCAUCCUUGUGACAACACCUGGACAACUUUAAACCAGGAGAUUUCUAUGCACACUGCAGGGGGUGGUAAAUCAUCCUCUGGCUGCUGGAAACCAACAUAUGGGAAG